AUUCCAACAGGUUUGAAGCCAAGCCAUGGAUUGCCUUUUUGUUUGUGGGCACGUGCCUAGUGUACUGUGUCAGAGUAACACUGCCUAUCUGUGUAGCUACCAUGGCAGAACAAUUUGCAUGGGACAAGACACAGUCUGGAAUUGUGCUCGGAAGUUUUUUUUGGGGAUAUUGCCUGACUCAAAUCAUAGGUGGCCACAUUAGUGACAGAUUGGGUGGCGAUAAAAUACUUCUUCUUUCAGCUACUGCAUGGGGCUCGGUAAUUACCCUCACUCCACUUAUUGUUCACUGGAGCUCUACACCAAUCACUUUUGUAACCUUAUCCCGAUUCCUUAUGGGCCUGUUUCAGGACUGGAAAACAUUGACUGGGCCAAACAUAUAGGAUAAAGUGGAAGCUGGAAUUUCGUAAGCAAGCAUAAAAAAACUGAUUAAAAACCCAAUGACAUUUUAUGAUAAUGGAAAUAUAUGACAUUCACAAUCAUCAAAUUUGCCUUUCAAGACCAAAUAAGUUAUUCAGUAAUUAUGACUUAGUUGCACCCCAUUCAGAAAAGCAUAACAUUUCAGAGUAUAUGUGUAAUUUCACAAAAUAAAGUGAUUUUGAAAGAUUUC